AAUGGAGAGAAUGAAUAAAAUGACCCAAAUAUAACCAAUUUUCAAACAUAGGUAGCAUUCCAUUUCUGAUCUUAAAAAUAUUCCCUCUGCACUUGUGGAAAAAAGUAGCACAGUGCCGGGACUAAGUGAUCCUUUGCCAGUUUGUUAGGUUAGCUUUCAUAUUGAAAAUGAAAAUCUCUGCCACUCUCCUUAGAGUCAGGCCCAAUCUUUCCCUCCUUUGUUGUCAGCAUAUUUUUAGGAAACUGUAAUACAAGGUAAUAAAUACAACCCAUAAGGCUUAAGAAUUCCCCUCAGAAAGGAACUAAGUCCAAGUCUCCCUUUUUCACCAAGUCUUAGCACCCUUUCUGGCAUACGAUUGGUCCUCAAUGAAUGAUUGAUGGUGCAGUUGUUUCAAAUGCCCAUUAUACAUGUAAGGUCAAAUAGGAUUCAGUGCAGAAGCUGGCAGAUGGAGGUGGACAGCAGGUACCCAGACCUCCCAUUUCCUGGUAAGAAAAAGCCUCUUGAAGGAAGAGAGAUUAAACCAAAGAGAGCUGGAAGUUUUAAAGGAAAGAAACAAGAGACCAACAGGAAAAGUGAGCCAUCUAGGGGAGAUGUGUGCAGCUCUGUGACCGUCCGGUGCUCUUGCUGGAUGGUCAGGGAAGAGUUACCUGGGAUGAAGUUCACUCUGGAGGCAAGAUUGUUAGCUUCGCUCUUCUGAAUGAUUGCCCAGAUGCAGAAACCAAGACAUAAAGACCUACUCCAGUGGUCCCCUUAUGCCAAAGUCUGCUCCAGAUCACAAGCUGAGAAUACUUGAGCCACUCAUAGUCCUGGGAUAGUCCCUGAAACUCAGCUCACAAUGACCAAUCCUGGGCUCCACCUCUAUUCUUAGCUGUGCGUAUAGAUCUUCACUUAAUGCUUUCUGAACAUGCACAUCUUCAUCUGUAUAGCAGGGACAAAUAGUACCUACUUCUCAGGUGAUUACGAUUAUUAAAUAAACUAAGUAGAGCUUUCGACAUCAUACCCUGACACAGUAAAGGCCCUAUAUCUAUUUGUUGCUGACCACCUCUCAGAUAUUCAUGACUAUUAAACAGACUAUUGCUUAGCAUAGUGUUCAUCAUACCCGAAGAAGUUCAUGUGUUCCCUGCUACUCCCUCAUCCUUCUGCUGUCAUUUGGUCCUUGUUCUUUGCCUAACCUCAGUGAGGAGUCUUCUGGGGAGCCAUGUUACCCAGACUGAGUUUUCUCACCUUCACCCCAAACAGUGCAGGGGAACCAGCCAUUGCACUAUUUCCUUAGAACAAAGAGAAAAAGUGUGGUAAGAUGAGAUCCAUUGUGGCCCCUGCUGAAUGCAUGCUGGCAUUGAGCACCAAGAAAGUCAGUCUGUGGGGGAAACCUCAGAGUGGGAGGAAUUCUCUUCAGUGAUUUAGAGCAGAGUGAAAAAUGUGAUAUAUCAGGGCCAACUUGGCUAGUGGGCUUAGUGGUCAGGGCCCAUUGUAGUUUUAGGGACCCAUGAACAAGUGUUAAUUUCUCUUAAAAUCAAAAUGGAAACAAUGAAUAUUCAAUUUGCCUGAAACCAUUACAAUCAUAUUAAUAAAUAUGUUUUUGUUUAGGAAAGGAACCGUGUUUGAUAGGGACAAAAUGGUAAUAUGCUGCUUAGAAUGUGUGACCUGGAGGUCAAGUAUCUAAAUGACAAAACAAGAGUUAGGCUUUCUUUCAAGAGGAGCUGGAAUUCUUCUAUUUGGAGCUCCCAUGAGGAGAAGCAGGGGAGGCUAAGAAAUGUGAAGAGGAGAGAGUAUUGGGGAAAAGGUGUGGAGGUGUGGAUAGGAAGAGAAGCUCUUGAGAUGGGGGGGCUGGGGCUAAGGGGAUGCAGGAAGAGUCAUAGGAGAGUCCUCUUGGGGU